CGUCUAUAUACGUAUAGCAUAUCAAUAAGCGGAGGAAAAGAAACUAACUAGGAUUCCCUUCAGUAACGGCGAGUGAAGCGGGAAGAGCUCAAAUUUGAAAUCUUCAAGGUUCUACCUUGACGAAUUGUAGUUUAAAGAAGUGUUUUCUGUUGGAGUUUUGGUAAAAGUUCUUUGGAAUAGGACAUCAUAGAGGGUGAGAAUCCCGUAUUUGACCAUUAUUUCCAACUUUGUGAUACACUUUCAAAGAGUCGGAUUGUUUGGGAAUGCAGUCCAAAAUGGGUGGUAAAUUUCAUCUAAAGCUAAAUACUGGCGAGAGACCGAUAGCGAACAAGUACCGUGAGGGAAAGAUGAAAAGAACUUUGAAAAGAGAGUUAAACAGUACGUGAAAUUGUCAAAAGGGAAGCGUUUGACACCAGUGUUGUUUUCUCGAAAAUCAAUUAAAAAAGAUUGGAUUUUGUGUUGUAUUGACUUUAUCAGCUUUCUGCACUCUUUUCUUGUCUUUUUUAAUGCACUUUUCGUUUAACAAGUCAACAUCAAUUUCUUUUGCUUGUAAAAGAGGUCAUUGGAAGGUGGCUUUCUUUUCGGAGAAAGUGUUUAUAGCCUUUUGGACUUCUGCAAUCGGAGAGAUUGAGGUCUGCAGCGUAGAUCCUUCGGGGUUAGAUAGCAUUUGUGCUAAGUUAUAGCCUUUCAUAGACAACUUGUUGACUAUGAUCAGUCAUGUAGCUUACUCGCUUAUGCUAUUUUACCUACGCUUAGGAUGUUGACGAUCAGCUGAGCGCG
rnacentral:rRNA from 1 species